rnacentral:rRNA from 1 species
UCGAACGGGGCGCGCAGGCUGAGGCUUUUCGGAGCGGAAGCCUGCGCUGCCCAGUGGCGGACGGGUGAGUAACGCGUGGGCAACCUGCCCUGCACUGGGGGACAACAGCCGGAAACGGCUGCUAAUACCGCAUAUGCCCGCAGCCCCGCAUGGGGCGGCGGGGGAAGCUCCGGCGGUGCAGGAUGGGCCCGCGUCUGAUUAGCUGGUUGGCGGGGCAACGGCCCACCAAGGCGACGAUCAGUAGCCGGCCUGAGAGGGUGGGCGGCCACAUUGGGACUGAGACACGGCCCAGACUCCUACGGGAGGCAGCAGUGGGGGAUAUUGCACAAUGGGGGGAACCCUGAUGCAGCGACGCCGCGUGGGCGAUGGAGUGCUUCGGCAUGUAAAGCCCUAUCAGCAGGGAAGAAAAUGACGGUACCUGACUAAGAAGCCCCGGCUAAAUACGUGCCAGCAGCCGCGGUAAUACGUAUGGGGCAAGCGUUAUCCGGAUUAACAGGGUGUAAAGGGAGCGUAGGCGGCCUGGCAAGCCUGAUGUGAAAUACCGGGGCCCAACCCCGGGGCUGCAUUGGGAACUGCCAGGCUGGAGUGCCGGAGAGGCACGCCGAAUUCCUAGUGUAGCGGAGAA